CCUACGGGUGGCAGCAGUGAGGAAUAUUGGUCCAUGGGCGCGAGCCUGAACCAGCCACGCAGCGUGAAUGAAGACGGCCCUACGGGUUGUAAACUUCUUUUGUAAAGGAGUAAAGUGAGGCACGUGUGCCUUUUUGCCUGUGCUUUCUGAAUAAGGAUAGGCUAACUCCGUGCCAGCAGCCGCGGUAAAACGGAGGUUCCUAGCGUUAUCCGGAUUUAUUGGGUUUAAAGGGAGCGUAGAUGGGUUGUUAAGUCAGUUGUGAAAGGUUGGGGCUCAACCGGAGAAUUGCUAUUGAUACUGUCAGUCUUGAGUGCAGAUGAGGUAGGCGGAAUUCGUGGUGUAGCGGUGAAAUGCUUAGAGAUCAGAAAGAACACCGAUUGCGAAGGCAGCUUACUAAACUGCAACUGACAUUGAGGCUCGAAAGCGUGGGUAUCAAACAGGAUUAGAUACCCGGGUAGUC
rnacentral:rRNA from 1 species